UACGUAGGGUGCAAGCGUUAAUCGGAAUUACUGGGCGUAAAGCGUGCGCAGGCGGUUUUGUAAGUCUGUCGUGAAAGCCCCGGGCUCAACCUGGGAAUUGCGAUGGAGACUGCAAGGCUUGAAUCUGGCAGAGGGGGGUAGAAUUCCACGUGUAGCAGUGAAAUGCGUAGAGAUGUGGAGGAACACCGAUGGCGAAGGCAGCCCCCUGGGUCAAGAUUGACGCUCAUGCACGAAAGCGUGGGGAGCAGACAGG
rnacentral:rRNA from 1 species